CUCAGAUGAGAAACCAAGUGUGGGUGUUUGAAAGACUCAAGAUAAUUACUCAAGAGAAAGCGAUUGACUCUGAUUGAUUGUGAAAUAAACUCCCUUCUCAAGCCUCUGCUUCUCCUUUCAUUGACCACGAAAAGAUGCAGCGACUGGUAACAGAAACACUGGUCACCGUCUCCACAGGUGAGAAAACCGAGGGACAGCAAAGUUAAGCAACUUGCCCAAGAUUCUGUAAUGCAAGACUGCACCGCCAGGUGAACACAAGCACCUUCUGAGAAUUUAGAAGAAGGAGAAGAAGAAGAAGAGAAGAAGAAGAAAAGAAGAAGAAGACCAAGAUG